GCACGUAGUUAGCCGGUGCUUAUUCUUACGGAUACCGUCAUGAGUCCAACGUAUUAAGUCAAACCUUUUCGUUCCGUACAAAAGCAGUUUACAACCCGAAGGCCUUCAUCCUGCACGCGGCAUGGCUGGAUCAGGCUUGCGCCCAUUGUCCAAAAUUCCCCA
rnacentral:rRNA from 1 species